rnacentral:lncRNA from 1 species
UGCUCUCACAGUAAGAUAGUGUUAAAAUAUUAUAUAAUACAGUAGAAUGCACAACUCUUAAGUGUAAGAGAAUUCGAUGUAACUGAUCUUUGUCAUUUUUUCUUGAUCACUAAUUUAGAGUGAGGAGUGCUUUACGUUCAUUAUUUUUAUAAUCUUCUGCCAAACCCUAAGGAAGUUGACAUAUUAUCUCCUCUUUUACUUGCACACAAUUUGGAAGUAAUAAAUGGAAAAAAAUGUGAAAUAUAUUCUAAGUCUAUUUGAAUUGAGUACCCCAGUUCUUAACCCAGAUGCUAUGCCAGCAAGCACUAACUGGUAGCACUGUCUUCAAAACUGAGAAAGUGAAAUUCUUUUUCAUAAACUGAACUCACAUGUAGAAAUGUAACUUUUAGUCUAUUCCUUGAUUUUGGUUCUGUACCAAAGA